UAGGGAAUCUUCGGCAAUGGGGGGCAACCCUGACCGAGCAACGCCGCGUGAGUGAAGAAGGUUUUCGGAUCGUAAAGCUCUGUUGUAAGUCAAGAACGGGUGUGAGAGUGGAAAGUUCACACUGUGACGGUAGCUUACCAGAAAGGGACGGCUAACUACGUGCCAGCAGCCGCGGUAAUACGUAGGUCCCCGAGCGUUGUCCGGAUUUAUUGGGGCGUAAAGCGAGCGCAGG
rnacentral:rRNA from 1 species